AAGAGCUCAAAUUUGAAAUCUGGCGUCCUCAGGGCGUCCGAGUUGUAAUCUAUAGAGGCGUUUUCCGUGCCGGACCGUGUCCAAGUUCCUUGGAACAGGAUAUCAAAGAGGGUGACAAUCCCGUACUUGACACGACGACCGGUGCUCUGUGAUACGUCUUCUACGAGUCGAGUUGUUUGGGAAUGCAGCUCAAAAUGGGUGGUGAGUUCCAUCUAAAGCUAAAUAUUGGCGAGAGACCGAUAGCGAACAAGUACCGUGAGGGAAAGAUGAAAAGCACUUUGGAAAGAGAGUUAAACAGUACGUGAAAUUGUUGAAAGGGAAACGAUUGAAGUCAGUCGUGACCGAGAGGCUCAGCCGGCUCUGCCGGUGUAUUCCCCUCGGUCGGGUCAACAUCAGUUUUGUCCGGUGGAUAAGGGCGGUAGGAAGGUGGCACCCUCGGGUGUGUUAUAGCCUGCCGUCGCAUACAUCGGGUGAGACUGAGGAACGCAGCUCGCCUUUAUGGCCGGGGUUCGCCCACGUCCGAGCUUAGGAUGUUGACAUAAUGGCUUUAAACGACCCGUCUUGAAACACGGACCAA
rnacentral:rRNA from 1 species